GCCCCUUUCCUGGCUGCCUACACAGAAAGCAGCCAUGGGAGACUUGCCGAGGACUUUGUCCACCAAGUGAUGAAAGCAUGCAAAUGCCUCCGAAUCAAAGAUGAGGAAAACAAAAGCUCAGAAACUAUCUUGGAGUCAGCAAGUAAGAAGGAGCUUAGAAAGGCUUAACAUUUUCCAUGCUUCUGCCUGGCUUCAGAGCCCAUGCACUCUGCCUUACCACGGCAGGUGAAAGAUGGCCCCAAAUUCUUAGGUACAUCUCCUGCCAAAAGACCCCUCCUAUGGGUUCUGUGACUACUUCAAUGAAAAGAAUAGGGCAGAAGAGAUGAUGAGAACUUAACAUCUGGCAGUGUCCAUUUCCUGUCUUUUGAAACUUUCUGUUAAAGGCCUGAGCCACGUAUGAAGUGUGAAUCUUCACACCAUGCAAGAGAAGCCACAUGUUAUUGCUCUGGUCAACAAUCCCAGCUGACCCAACCAGAUAGUGUAUCAGGCAUAUGAGUAAAGCAUUCUUAGAUUCUUCAGUCCAGCCCUUCACCAGCAGAACACCAUUCAGCAACCCUUGUCGGCAUCAUGUGGGACAGAAGAACCACCCAGCUGAGCCUUAUCCAAAUUCCUGACCACAAAAUCAUAAGAGAGAAUGACUUCUUUCAUAUCGCUGAAUGGAGCAACAUGUUUGGCCAAGUUCCUGUCCCAGGGAGGAGAACCUUCAGCUUGCAACAAGUCCUGGCCGUUGGAGAAACCAUGAGACUAGACCUUGUGUAAAGCAGCUGAUUCUGCCAUGGGGGAAAUGCCCUUUUGUUUACUGAGCUUCUCCCACCCAUGCCUUGCUCCACUUUCCUCUAGAAGCCUGAGAUAUUGGGAAUAAGAGUCUCAGCCUCCAAGAGAUGGAGAACAUAUCAAGAGAGUCUGGAUUUCUGGGGUGAUUAAGUUCACUUGAUUCAUUAGCCUAAGUGCUCAAGUAAAUUUCAAAUCACAGUGUUAUGUGUGAUUGUCCACGUCCUUCCUCCAAACACUCCCCACCUCCCACCCAAGGGCCCAUGUAACUUGCUAUUGAGAACCUUUGAUUUCUUAGGUAUUUGGGUGAUAGGGUUUUGUUGCCUCUCCUGAAGAAAAUAGUGGCAAUUUGUACUCAGCUGUGGAAUAAAGGAAAUCAUGACAUA
rnacentral:lncRNA from 1 species